UACUCAAUUAAUGUAAUUAUUAAGAAGGUAAACAUGAAGGUCAGAUUACUUGAGAUGACUUGAAAGGUGAAAGCUGAGGGCUUGCCUCCAAACUCAAACUGUGACUUAAUCAUGCUCUAUUUUGUCAAAUUUGCGGGAAGUAGAGGAUGAUGGAGUAAUAUCUAAAAUGGCUCAGUCAGCAAUAAUCACUUUUAAAAAUUUUGAAGAUAUAUAAUAUGGUUACAUUUGAUUUAAUAGCUGAAAUUAAUUUUGACGUGCAUAAACUAUAAAACGUGUUACUUCAGAUGUGUCCUCAAAGAGCAACAUCACAUUAAAGAGCAAACUUACACUGAGCACUACACACAGCUUUAUAUGGUAAAGACAGACCCACCCUGAUACUUCCAGAGGCAUUUAUUGAGAAGAUUGAUAAGAACUGUGUGGCAGCACUUAGUCACUCAAGCUAUGUACAGUCAUUUUUGCAGGAUAGAUUUCAAUCCUCAUCAGUGAAGAUCAGUCCUUUGCUGUGUCAGUGUCUAAAGUUAAAUCUACUGAGCUGAAAUGCCUUUCUCUCAAAAUAUUAUUUUUGUGUGUGUAUGUGUUUUUUAAACAGUUAACAAUUUUACAGAAUUUUAGUCCAUAGUUACAGAUAGAAUUCCUGGCAUGUGUGUAUCUAAUUUUUGAGUUAGACAGGCAGUGCAGUAUAUUGUGAAUAAACACAUGGCAACAUCACAGACAACUCAAUUUCAUACUUGUAUCCAUUAUGGGAUGUUAACUGGUUUUUACGUCUGUUUUUGAUUAUAGAUUGAACAAAUCCAAAAUCCUGGACAGGUGGAAGAAUUACCAGAUUAACAAAAGUCAUGGAAAUUAAAGAAUGGGCAUCAAAACAAUGAAAAAAGACUCUUCAUGGAACCAGUGAACAGACUAUCAGUCACAUUGAAAAAUGUGGCUUUAAUUCUUCAGUAUACGGAAAUGGAACUUACUUUGCAUGUAAUGUAAACUACUCUUCUAGCAGCACAGUGCCUAAUGCUCUGGGACCUAAAGGAGAAGUCCACUUCCAGAACAAAAAUCUGACAAAAAGAGAAAACAACAGAAGACACAACAGCAGAGAAACUGCAGCAACAACCAACAUCUAUAUGAAUCACAGUGUAUACUAAAUGUUAAAUGUUAUUGUGCAGCACACAUAACUAAUAUUACAAAAUGUGUUUUGAAGCGACAGCAGAUCAAGACAGUGUGUGUCUGUGAGCACCUGUUUUUACACCAAUGUGAAUGCUUGUGUGUACACCUGUGUGCACACCUGUGUGUGUGAGCGCGUUUGUGUUCAUAAGGUUCUUCUAUGUAAAUGUUUAAUAGUGUGUGUGGGGAACCGCAGCCCCGCCCCGCAAGGUAUGAAGCAGACAUGGGGGAGACCCGGGCCCCGAACAUCCGGAGGCCCCCCCUGGCACGAGAGUCCCAGGAGAACCACCGCAGAGAAAACCGCGGCCCCCACCCAGAAAAGGGCAGAGGAGAGCCCGGAGGGGGAUCAUCCGGCAGCCACCAUGCAGACGUCCCAGGGGGCCGCGGCGGCAAGCCCGCAGGCUCCGCCGGCAGCCGGCCACACCAGAGCAGACCGGCCCCU